UUCACAAGGAAUAGAAAUUUAUUUUCUGUUUUUACUGCUAAUUUACAUAUAUGUAAUGUUUAUUUUAAUUCUAAAUAAUCUCUGUUACAGUGAAUUUCAAAUUGCUGAUUCUGACUGGAUUUCUGAUUAUGUUCGAUGCUCAGCUCCAAGACUUCUUGCAGGGAGCAGAAUAAGUAACAUUCAUAGUAUAAAAAAUUGUGUGCAGCGAUCCUUCACAUUUUCAGAUACAAAACCAUCUCGAUGGGCAGCCUUACGUGGAUCCCCGGAGUUGCGCGCGUACAGCAGCAUGCCUCGCCAUCAGGAUGGUGACUAUGCCCCAUCAGUUUUUAGACGAAGAAACAAAUGCAGCGUGAUCAAAGCAGAAAACGAACAAAUCAAACCCGAGCUGACUGUAGAACAAUGCCCUGUAAAUAUGAAAGAUGAAAAUUCUGUAUUAAAAACAGAUACUCCUUCAACUGCUGAUGACUCUGUGGAAACAAAUGAUGAGAACAGUCCAGUUAACUUCAUCAAAUCGUUGAUUCGUGUGGAUUGGUCCUGGAUAUCCCAGCAGUGGCAACCUCUGACGAGCUCAUCGUGGAUGACUCUGAACAGAGUGUCGCCCAGACCAAUAAUGAGAUCCCACAGCCUUCCGCCAGUACAAAGAUGACUAAGGUCUACCGUAAAAAGUCAACUGGCUCCCUCAAGUCCUCUUUUCUUGAUUCGCUCUCGAAUCGAGUUCAAGAAGUGACGAGAAGAAGGAAAGCAACAGAUUUUCGCAAUCUUCCUCCAGGUGUGACGCCUCCGCGUAGUCGGCGCUUCAAACACCCGGAGGAAGGUGACGCAACACUAGAUCCGGUGGCCCAGGUGUUAUUCCCGGACUCGGACGACUACCGCCUCGUCUUCAUAAGCUCCUCGGACUCCUCGUCGCGCGAGGAGCUGCCCUACGGGUCCGCCUCCGAAGACGAGAAAUCCUCCACCUCCUCCUUGGUCCACCCUUCUCUGGAGGACGGCGACUGGGACUAUUUCGAGGACCCGCCGCCGGGGAGCGCCAUCGGUUCCUUCUCGGCUGCCGCGCCAGAUCGCGCCAGCACCGUCGCGGAGCGCGCCGCGUUUCCCGCCACCGCGCCGGAGUUCAGUUUCGUUUCGAGUCUCCUCUCUUGCGCGUCGCCCGUGCAGCCGCUCGUAGUGCCCGUUCCGAUCCCGAUCCCCAUCCUAGUGCCAGUGCCGUGGAACCCCGAGUUGACCAUCCGCGUCGAGCACGGUGUGUCGCCCGCGCUUCGCACCCUCUUCCAGCAGAACUGGAGCGAGUACGUCCGCGGGUUCGGUGCGGUGACGGGGUCGCCAGCGCCCUCUAGCGGGGGCCCCGCGCAAAGUGCAGUGCAGUGCGAUGAAGGGGUGAGCGGCGGAGAUGCGCCCCCCGUGAGUGACGAGAUGGAUUUGCCGGAUGUGUGCCCCGAACACGACGCGUCGAGGAAGAAGUUCGCCACCCUCCCGCUCAGCGAGCUCCGCUCCGUCGGGGAGAUCCUCUCCAAGAAGCCGGUCGCGGAGGACCAGACGGACGAUGCCGGGGAGAUAGUCCUCAAGAAAUACCAGGUCAUCGAGGAUGCUGCCGAUCUCAGCCCUGACCCGGUCAGCUUGAACAAUAUUAUCAACAAGCAGCUCACCUCUGAGCUUUCAGUCUCUGACUCGGAUGCUUCUGACAACGAAGAGAAUUCGGUACAACGAAUAUAUACCCUCCACAAGUCGGCGGAUUCUGAAGAUUCAGAGUCUUCGGCAGAGGAGGACAUCGAAGAAGCGAAGACACAUGAUUUAGUCUCCCUGAGUAAUUUAGAUGCUAGUCCUGGUGUUGAAACUUUAAUGUCAGAUGUUUCGAAUGUCACUGAAAUAAGUCAGGACUCUUUGAAUCCACCAGAACAAACCCAGAUGCCACCUAGUCCUAUAAACAACAAAGUAAAAAGUAGAUCGAAAAUAUCUCCAAAAUAUCUGCACGGCUGGAUAAAUUUAACCAAGUGGAUCAGUCAGCUGCUGAUAAUAAUGGGAAAAUGACAGUAGCGAAAAAAAUUGAGAAGAGCUUUGUGGCUGGAAUGACAGAAAAGUUGUCAAAAAGUGAUGAAUCAGAGUCAAAAUCUGAAUUGGUUUCUAGAAAUACUUCAAGUAAAAUUUGUGCUACAUCAUCCUCGUCAUCAGACGAGUUUUCUGGCACAGAAUCGAUGGAGUUGAUACCCACUGCAGAGGAUCUGAAAAUGGAAAGGGACUCGGAGGCAGAGAUGAGGAGACUCUCGCCAGUUUUAGAUGCUAAAACUGAACCGUCCUCGGACGAAAGUAUCUGUGAUAAAGAGCCGAAAUGCUCAACCCCAAUCAAAGACCAAAAAGGGCUGAUCCUGAUGCCUGUAAUAUAUCAGAUGAAAAUAUAGGUGACAGUCCAAGUGGUCGGUUCACAAGUCUUAUCAUGAUAACAAGUGAUCAGGCUGAAAUAGAACCUGAAUUAGAAGACAAGAGUAAUGUUAAUAUUGUAACAAAUAGUAGCACUCAAUUAGUGCAAGAUAAAGUUGAAAAGAAAGAAGAGUUCAAACUCACUCUUAACACAGAACAAGAUGUAGAAAAAACACAGCAUGUGUCACGAUCCAAUUCUGAAAGUGACACGAAUACUGAUGAAGUUAAAGUAGUGACUGGUGGUGACACGCUGUCAGCUGUGAUUUGUCUAGAAGAAGGGUUAGCGGAUGAUGAUUCGUGGGUAGAGGAAAUCGAUCAUAGUGACACUAACCGAGGUGAUUAUGAUGAAGAUGAUAACUUUGAUGAUGAUAAUGAUAAUUUUGAUGAUGAUUACGAUCAUUAUGAUGAUGAUGAUGAUGACGACGACAAGAAUGUUGGUCUGAUGAAAACAUCUCGGACUUCCAAGGUCACACGGAGGAAGAACUACGAGGCUACCAUCGCUCAGCUAUCGACUUCACCCUUCAUACAAUUCUAGAAGAGAGCUGUGAAGAAGCCAGUGAAGUAGAAGAGUCCAUGAGCAAUACAAAAAAUAAUUUAGAGAAUUACUUCUUUGGUUUUAUUGGAUCUGACGCUCAGUUAGAAAACAGCUCAGGCUCUCUAAAAAGCUUGAUAUUGGAUCCAUGAUGUAGAUAUUCGUGACUUGGACAGCAUAUCUGACACAAGUUCAAUAUUCAGUGAGGGACUAGAGUCUUUUGAAAGUAUUGAGCAAGCCAGCUGCUCAACUCGGAAUAAACAGAAUGAUGAUGAGAAAACACUUGAUGCUGCUGACCUUGCAUCAUCACGGAUAGAGAAAUACUUCCUAUCAAGUUUGAUCGGGAACCGAAGAGAUUCUGAUGGGAGUGUGGGGAGCGAUAGUGAAGGCAAACCCUCGCCUGAGCAGCGCAGAAAGAAAUUGGUGCGGGCCCGAGGCACUGGGCGGUCUUAUUCCAAUUCAUUAGAUAAUUUAACAG
rnacentral:lncRNA from 1 species